rnacentral:rRNA from 1 species
AUUGAACGCUGGCGGCAGGCCUAACACAUGCAAGUCGAGCGGAAACGAGUUAUCUGAACUUUCGGGGAACGAUAACGGCGUCGAGCGGCGGACGGGUGAGUAAUGCCUGGGAAAUUGCCCUGAUGUGGGGGAUAACCAUUGGAAACGAUGGCUAAUACCGCAUAAUAGCUUCGGCUCAAAGAGGGGGACCUUCGGGCCUCUCGCGUCAGGAUAUGCCCAGGUGGGAUUAGCUAGUUGGUGAGGUAAGGGCUCACCAAGGCGACGAUCCCUAGCUGGUCUGAGAGGAUGAUCAGCCACACUGGAACUGAGACACGGUCCAGACUCCUACGGGAGGCAGCAGUGGGGAAUAUUGCACAAUGGGCGCAAGCCUGAUGCAGCCAUGCCGCGUGUAUGAAGAAGGCCUUCGGGUUGUAAAGUACUUUCAGCAGUGAGGAAGGGGUGUACGUUAAUAGCGUGCAUCUUUGACGUUAGCUGCAGAAGAAGCACCGGCUAACUCCGUGCCAGCAGCCGCGGUAAUACGGAGGGUGCGAGCGUUAAUCGGAAUUACUGGGCGUAAAGCGCAUGCAGGUGGUUUGUUAAGUCAGAUGUGAAAGCCCGGGGCUCAACCUCGGAAUUGCAUUUGAAACUGGCAGACUAGAGUACUGUAGAGGGGGUAGAAUUUCAGGUGUAGCGGUGAAAUGCGUAGAGAUCUGAAGGAAUACCGGUGGCGAAGGCGGCCCCCUGGACAGAUACUGACACUCAGAUGCGAAAGCGUGGGGAGCAAACAGGAUUAGAUACCCUGGUAGUCCACGCCGUAAACGAUGUCUACUUGGAGGUUGUGGCCUUGAGCCGUGGCUUUCGGAGCUAACGCGUUAAGUAGACCGCCUGGGGAGUACGGUCGCAAGAUUAAAACUCAAAUGAAUUGACGGGGGCCCGCACAAGCGGUGGAGCAUGUGGUUUAAUUCGAUGCAACGCGAAGAACCUUACCUACUCUUGACAUCCAGAGAAUUUUCCAGAGAUGGAUUAGUGCCUUCGGGAACUCUGAGACAGGUGCUGCAUGGCUGUCGUCAGCUCGUGUUGUGAAAUGUUGGGUUAAGUCCCGCAACGAGCGCAACCCUUAUCCUUGUUUGCCAGCGAGUAAUGUCGGGAACUCCAGGGAGACUGCCGGUGAUAAACCGGAGGAAGGUGGGGACGACGUCAAGUCAUCAUGGCCCUUACGAGUAGGGCUACACACGUGCUACAAUGGCGCAUACAGAGGGCAGCAAGCUAGCGAUAGUGAGCGAAUCCCAAAAAGUGCGUCGUAGUCCGGAUUGGAGUCUGCAACUCGACUCCAUGGAGUCGGAAUCGCUAGUAAUCGUGGAUCAGAAUGCC